rnacentral:snRNA from 1 species
GUGCUUGCUUUAGUACUACAUAUCCUAAUAGAAGACUAGCAUGAUCCCUGCACAAGGACAACAGGCACAUUUGUGAAGUGUUUUAUGGUUUU